GGCCACAUCUGCGGAGUACCACAGUGGUUUCUUGAAUUUUUUGCUUUUACUGACAAGCCUAAUGCAAUUUUCUGUUGACUUCAGUAGUGCAACUUUUAAAUAAUCCUAUUUCUCUUGGACUCCAUUUAAAUUGCUCCAGUCUGAUAAUGACUCCUCUACACAUAUUCUAAUUGCAUAUUCUAAAUGCAUUAUUUACAUUACAGCCUAGUGAUAAC